UGAGGAGACGAAGGCUGAGAACGGAGUAGAGGAGGAGGCCAGCGAGGAGGCCAAGAAGGACGACGAGGCCACGGACAAGGCCGACACUAGUAUCCUGUCCCCACUGCGACUCACCAAGAAGAUCAAGAUGGUCCUGUGUCAGGUCACCAUGCUGGACGGCAGCCAGUUCACCUGCGAGGCGGAGAAACGGGCAAAGGGCCAGUACCUGUUCUUCAAAGUCUGUGAGCAGCUCAACCUGCUGGAGAAGGACUACUUCGGCCUGUGCUUCAAAGACAACGCAGACCAGAAGUGCUGGCUGGACCCUCUGAAGGAGAUCAAACGGCAGAUCAGAAAUGGUCCAUGGAACUUUUCAUUCAACGUCAAGUUCUACCCUCCAGACCCCUCUCAGCUAACGGAGGACAUCACCAGGUACCUGCUGUGUCUGCAGCUGCGACAGGACAUUGCGUCGGGCCGGCUGCCGUGCUCGUUUGUGACGCACGCGCUGCUGGGCUCCUACACACUGCAGGCCGAGCUGGGCGACCACGACCCCGACGAGCACCGCACCGACUACACCAGCGACUUCCAGUUCGCCCCCAACCAGACCCGUGAGAUGGAGGAGAAGGUGGUGGAGCUGCACAAGUCCCACAGAGGGAUGACUCCGGCUCAAGCAGACAGUCAGUUCCUUGAAAACGCCAAGAAGCUGUCCAUGUUCGGCGUGGAUCUGCACCAUGCUAAGGACUCUGAGGGGGUGGACAUCAUGUUGGGGGUGUGUGCCAAUGGGCUGCUCAUCUACAAAGACCGACUGCGGAUAAACCGCUUCGCCUGGCCCAAGAUCCUCAAGAUCUCCUACAAGCGCAGCAACUUCUACAUCAAAAUCCGGCCGGGAGAGACGGAGCAGUUUGAGAGCACAGUCGGCUUCAAGCUGCCCAAUCACCGCGCCGCCAAGAAGUUAUGGAAGGUCUGCGUGGAGCACCACACCUUCUUCAGGUUGAUGACCCCUGAGCAGCCCACCAAGGCCAAGUUCCUCACGCUGGGCUCCAAGUUCCGCUACAGCGGACGCACCCAGGCCCAGACGAGACAGGCCAGCUCGCUCAUCGACCGGCCCGCGCCUUACUUCCAACGCACCUCCAGCAAGCGCAUCUCCCGGAGCUUGGACGGAGCUCCGGUGAUCAGUGUGACCAGUGAUGGCUCGGGCCCUCUUGGUGAGAAGGAGAAUGGGCGAGACCCCGCCCUGGAGCUCUCCUCCGACUCCAAGUCCAUCUUCAUGUUCCCCUUCUCACCCUCCUCCUCCACCCUCUCCUCCCUCCCGCCUGCCCUGGACACCAUCUCGGAGCUGGACGUCCUUUCCGACAUCUCGGAGGACGGCCCCUUCUCCUGGACGGGCGGGGAGCAGCAGCUCCAGCUGGACGCGGACGAGUCCCCUCACCCCGCUGCCUUCGCCGCCUCUUCAGAUCAUGACCCCACCUUCCCCGACACCUCCCCCUCUCCUGCUCUUCCUCCCACCCCCUCCUCCUCCUCUUCCUCGGCGUCCUCGUCCCCAGGCUGCGAGUGCUGCGACGAGGCCCUUGAGAGUGCCCUCUCGGACGGCGAGGCGCACGGGCAGCCCCAGCCUCCGCACUCGGGCUUCUCCCUCCUGGCGGCCUGCAAGGGCUUGCGUCUGCCCUCGCUGCUGGACGAGGACGGCUACCUGUGCUUCCCCAGCCUCCCCGAGGAGUCGCUGGCGGCCGUGCUGCCCGCUGGGCUCCAGCGCCACCUGCCCCUCUCCUCCCCGUCCCUGGUGCCCUCCUUCCUGGUCAUCUUCGCCGUGCUGCUCUCCGCCUCGCAGUCGCUGGCCUUCGCCCUCUUCCUGGCCCUGCCUCUGGCGCUCGCCCUCUGCUACCUGGAGGCGCGCGCCUCGUCCCGCCUGCCACCCCAGGCGGCGUACACCAAGCUGGGCACGCCAGAGGAGAUGUGUGACCCCGCUGCUUAAAAGCAAGCUGCUGCUCCACCACCACCAACCAGCCCCUUACCGACCCAUUGCCCACCCCUUGACCCCUAGCCCCUACGAGGGGGAAAAUAUCCUCACACACCUCUAUCAGCGUCUCCCCUUUGUUACCUCCAGUUCUGCCCCCUACUGCCUCCCCCCUCUCUGCUUCUUCAGCGUCUGCCGUCCUGCCCAACCCAACCCCUCACUCCUCCUCUCUCUCCUGAUUUUCUGUGUAUUUAUGAACUGGUAACCAUGCCCUGUGGAGCUUGUUCUUGGGGAGGAAAACGUCCAUUUUUGUUUCGCAAAUCCCAACAAUCCUGAAGAGCUAUUGUUAACGGCAGUGGGUAAUUUUAGACUUUGUCUUGCCAAUAGUUGCUUUUUUUUUUCCCCUCAAAUCUUAAACGUUUUCUUUCCUACUCAACCCUUCUGUGAGAUUGAUGUCUAAACUUCUAUUUGCUCACCUUUCAGUCUUAAUAUGAAUCCAAGCAUUUCUUUGUUUAGCAAGACACAGCUUUGAGAGACUUACCCCACAAAUCUUGUUUGAAAAUCUCUGCAGAUAAGCCACAAACCAAGCAAUCAUGCCAAUGCCUUUUAAAUGCGCUUAAUAUUAGACACCCCUAAAUCCCUAAAUUUCAUGGAUCAUGAAUUAUGCUACAAUUCCCAAGUGUUGCGUUGAACACUACCCCAAGCACUCUUUUGUAAUAUGAGCUUCAGGUCUUUUAUAGUGCAACGUAGAAACUUGUUUAAGAAAAUAGAAAACGGUCAUGUACACAGAAAAGGAAGAUCAAACCAGUAACCCUUGGACUGCUUGGCGCUCUGAGAAAAGCAUGAGCCUUUCCUCACCACCAACCCCCUCAUGCUUCGCUCUGAUUAGCCAGCCUCAGAUCGGAGGUGGAACCCUCUCCUCAUGACAUCACACCACCGGAGUGUGUAUGUUGCUGUGCGUGCUUGUGUGUGUGUGACAGUUGAAUCGCAUUUGGGAAUGGGGGAGGUCUCCCCCCUCCCUACAUCAUCCAUGUCACCUUUUCUUACACCCCCAAUCCCCCCACUCCUCCCCUUUCCAAAUGCUACGUCAAUCAUCUCCGUCGCGGCGGCUACACAGGAUGAAGAUGAGAUGCCAGGCGAUGGAGCUGCCGCCGCAACCACGGCCGCCACUUUGGACUCCGCCGAGGAGGAUGCAGAAGAAUCGGAGGCCAUCUUGAGAAAGGACCUGGAUAAGACCCAGGACGAUGUUUUGAAACAUCAGGCUAG